UUUUCUGAUGAGUUUUCCUAGUCUGCAGGGAAGUUCUGCUGCUCCUUUUCAGAUUUUUUUUCGGGCAGUGCCUUUGUACGGAUGUUUUUCUUACGGUGCCUCUGACUGGAUGUUGAGUCACAACUUUUUGUCAUUUAUUUUUGCAUGAAUUGGAUUUUUCAGAACCAACGGUUUGCAAGAGAAUUCUGUGAUGGGAGUGGGGAAGCUUGCCUCCUUUCUCAGCUCGAGGGCUCCCUCCUCUGUUACUGCAGGGAUGUAUACUUUCUUUACCAUGCGGCACCUCGUCUGAAUUUCGGAUCCCAACCCGGCUCAGGAGGGCUCCCACGAUCGUUUUCAGAUAUCGUAAAUGCCAGAAGCGAGGGCCCAGCACAGUGCGCUGUAGAAUACCCCGCAGAAUGCAUAAUGAUCGGUCCUUAAGAGCUCACAGCGGGGCUGGUGGUCCGUUAGGAGCUACAGGAGUCCUAGUGAAAAGAUACUGCAGAACUCAAGAGCUUCUACGUGCUCGGACCUCACUGGUUGGACUCCCUUCCUGACUGGGGCUAUCAGCACGAAGCAGGCCCAUCGGGGAGAAGCUACUGCUCUUCGUGUCCCCCGGGGCCCGGGCUUGGUUUGAAGCAGGGAACCCUGGCCUGGGCCCCUCAGGGUUUCGGAGGCAGUGGUGACAGGGUAGGUCCUGGGAGGCUGGCCAAGACAUAAGCUGUCCGUUGAAGCAACCACAUCUGCCUCUAUUACUGUUAUUCUAGAGGCUUUAUCACAGAUAAAGCCUGGUCAGUUCUUUAAUUACUAACCCAUUUUUCACCUUCAUAAACUUCUCUAGAGGCUAUUUUUAGACUAUGAGAUAUCUGUAUAAAAUAUCACUUCAUUGAUUUUUGUACUAGGACUUUUUUUUUUUUUUUAAUGUAGUUUCCAUGCCCAGCAUGGGGCCCAAAGUGGGGCUUGAACUCAUGACCCCGAAAUCGAGACCUGAGCUGAGAUCGAGUUGGACACUUAACCGACUGAGUUCCCCAGGUGCCCCUAUUAUGACCUACUUUUGAAUAUAGUUGUCAAAUGUUUCUUUGACAUGGAUAAUUUUAUUCCUAUAAUUCGUCGUUAAGAACGCCCCACAUGGAAGUCCAUAGACUAGAGUGGAUUCUUUUUCUAUCCUCAGUCUUGUGCAAACUCAAAAUCUCCUUUUUCUGUCCUCUGCACCCCCACCUCUAUCACGCACAUCAGUUCUGUGACAGGACCCCCCAACGCCCUCCUCUCUGAUUCAUUCUCCACAUUUUGCCCUGGCGAAGUGUUCAGUAAAUGCUGAGCAACUGAUAAUAUCCAUCUCCCUUUUCAUUCCUUCCAUCUGCAGAGGAGACUAAUUUUAAUUUAGUUUAAUGUUAAAUUUUAUAUAAAACCAUCAGGCCAGGGUGUAUUGAAGCAACUUCGGGACACAUUCUCUUUAGGCAAAUCAUUCAACAGCAAAAAAAAAAAAGUUAAUUUUUCUUCAUCUUCUAGAGGAAAUAAAUCCCUCACUUCUUUUAGGAAUCCCUUUGAUUCCUAUUCCUUUGAAUACAUGGUUUUUAGCUUAUAGAACUUGAAAAUAAAUUAUCACCCCACUAGAGACACCAGUGUUAUUAUUUGAUAAAAAGCAUUUUAAAAUGGCUAUUAGUUCACUCCUUAAUUAAAUGUGCCCCAUAAUUACUGAUUGUGAUGUAUUCUCAAGUAAGAAAUC